GACAGAGGGUGCAAACGUUGUUCGGAAUUACUGGGCGUAAAGCGCGUGUAGGCGGCUCGGAAAGUCGGGUGUGAAAGCCCUGGGCUCAACCCAGGAAGUGCAUUCGAAACUCCCGAGCUCGAGUCCUGGAGAGGAUGGUGGAAUUCUCGGUGUAGAGGUGAAAUUCGUAGAUAUCGAGAGGAACACCGGUGGCGAAGGCGACCAUCUGGACAGUGACUGACGCUGAGGCACGAAAGCGUGGGGAGCAAACAGG
rnacentral:rRNA from 1 species